rnacentral:rRNA from 1 species
UACGUAGGGUGCAAGCGUUGUCCGGAAUUAUUGGGCGUAAAGAGCUCGUAGGCGGUCUGUCGCGUCGAAUGUGAAAACCCGGGACUCAACUCCGGGCCUGCAUUCGAUACGGGCAGACUAGAGUUCGGUAGGGGAGACUGGAAUUCCUGGUGUAGCGGUGAAAUGCGCAGAUAUCAGGAGGAACACCGGUGGCGAAGGCGGGUCUCUGGGCAGUAACUGACGCUGAGGAGCGAAAGCGUGGGGAGCGAACAGG